UAGCGCCGUGCCAACACGAAGGAUUACUUACGGAAAAGAUGGGCCGCGGGUACAGUGCCAGCCGUAGCAAGAGCGGCCGUCCGACGCUGCGGAUGAAGCGCUCCCGUUCCAUGUCGCUGCACGCGCUGAAGAAGAACAUGGACGCGCACGAGGCGGCCAAGGCGGCCAACGGCGGCAGCGCCGAGGCGUCGUCGUUGUCCUCUGCCGCGACGACCGAGGUGCCGCGCAAGACGCUCAAGGUGGUGCGCCAGCAUCGCGCGCCGUCUUCGUUGCUUUCAUCGUCGUCGCCAGCAACAGCGAGCUCUACCCCCGCCGCUGCGAAGGUGACGAUGAAAGGGGCGGCAACGAAGGUCAAGUCCGCCGACGGCCGCGGUCGCACCGCAACAUCUAGCCCCGGCCCUCGUUCGCAGUCCGCCGCCUUUCGCCGCAAUCUGGAAGACCUCGAAAGGCAGUUCGACGCCGCCAUGGAGGCCAGCGAGGACGAAGAUGAGACCGUCAUGAACACCACGACCAUGACCAAGUACAAGGAGUGCGGCCGCGUUGUCGACGCUGUGCUGGAUCAGCUCGCGGCGGCGUGCGUACCCGGCGCGAACACAAAGGUACUGUGCGACACAGGUGACGAGGAAAUCGCGAGUCGGCUGAAGGGACUGUUCGUGAAGACCAAGGGUGCGGAUGGAAAGCGGCUGGCGCGCGGCAUCUCGUACCCGACGAACGUGUCCGUGAACGAAAUGCUGUGCAACGACAGCCCGUACCGCGUGGAGGACGGCGCCAUCUUGAAGGACGGCGACGUCGUGAAGCUGCACGUGGGCUGCCACCUCGACGGCUACCCAGUGAGCGCCGCACGCACGGUCGUCGUCACCACGAGAGCGGCUUCCGCGGUUACGGAGGGCGACGAGGAGGAGGCGCAGAGAAGGAGGAGCAGCACAGCGGCGACGUUGUCGUCGCGCUCAGCCGUUGGCAACACCAUUGAGGCGGCUCGCGUGGCGUUGCUGGCGAUGAUGCACGCGCUGCGCCCUGGCACACUCAACGCCGACAUCACGGACGUCAUCGCCGCCGUCGGGCAACACUACGGCGUGCAGGCUGUGGAGGGCGUGCUGUCGAACCGGAGCAAGCGCUGGGUGCCGGAUGGGAUCGACUGUAUCAUUGCCCGCCGCGUGACGAGCGAGGACCCGCAUCAGGACGUGGCCGACUGCGAGGUGGGCGAGCAUCAGGUGUGGUGCCUCGACGUCGCCUUCACUAACAACCACAACUACCGCAUCACGCUCUCUGAGAAGCCCGUGACACUGUUUCGUCGCACCCCUGCCGACUUCAACGCGGACGCGCGGGUGACGCAGGCGAACGAGACGCUGCAGGAGAUCACUGACACACAUUUCUGCUUUCCUUUCCACUUCAAGAGCCUCGCGAACCCGCUAAAGGGGAAGCUUGGCAUCCACGUGUUGGAGAAGAAGGGCAUGGUGGACAAGCUGCCCCCGCUGCGCACGAAGCACGGCUACGUGACGGCGCGGUUUAGUGCAACUGUGGCGGUGACGGCGAAGCGGGUGACGGUGCUGUGCGGCGCGCCGCCCACCGCCCCUGUGGCGACGCCGCCAGCAAUGCGGCCAACCGUGUCGGAGGACACAUUGGCGGCCGAGGUGCUUGCGUUGCUGAGACGCCCGUACGAGUUCGCCGAUGUGCGCGCGGCAGUGACGGCGAAAGGCGCGAGGGACCAGAGCAGCCCCUCCGCGAAACGCAUGCGCGUAGAGGCGCUGGAGAACGAAGAGUAGGGCGGAGGAGAAGAGUGGGGAGGGGAGUGCCAGGGGGAUCGGGUCAGGGCUGCGCGACAUGAUCGACCCUGCUGGCCGCCUCUUCGCGCCUCUCUUUUUCCCAUACUCGGCGUUGUUGGAAGCGAUUUUCUGCUUGCUGUGAUGUGUGCAAGAGAUUGUGUAUGUGCGUGUAUGUGAGAGCAGUCGACCGUGUGGGGCUGCCAGUCGUGGAAUAGCUAAGGACGUAAGGAUAAGCGUAACGUGUAACGGUGCACACACUCACCAACAGCUGCACCGCCACGGCGUGAUGAGACGACUUGCGUGAGGAGAGCGAGUGAGCGAGAGGGUGGGGGGGAAAGAAGUGGGGGGGGGAGAGGGCGACAGAGGUGUGCGCAUCGGUAUCCGUGUGGAUGGCGCGAUGACCAUUGUCGGCCUCCCUGCUGCUCUCAUCGACUUCUCCAUCGGCACCCCCGGUGCCCCCCUCUGUGUGCGCCAGUUUCGGUGGCUUUGGCCGGUGUGUGGGUGUGCGCUCCUUCGAUGGCUCCCGUACGUUGGCGGCGGCGGCGGCUACUUUGUUUCCGACGCGUUGCACUUCGCCAUGGACGCCACGAAGUGCGUGUCGAAGCAACGAAGCCACAACAAAAGAAUACGAAUCGCGAAGGCGCGGCGAUACUGCGUCGGGCAUUACACGAGACCCGCAAUCCUUGUGUGUGUGUAUGUGUAUGCGUGUGUGUGCGCACGCUCCCCAGCACAAGAAAGUGGCGCAGCAGCGAUCUAUGCACAGGAAGGGAGGGGGUGGCAGACAGACCGGCCAUGGCAAAG
rnacentral:misc_RNA from 1 species